rnacentral:tRNA from 1 species
GCGCUCAUGGUGGAAUUGGUAGACACGCCAUCUUGAGGGGGUGGUGAUCUUAGGAUCAUGAGAGUUCAAGUCUCUCUGAGCGCACCA